GACGAACGCUGGCGGCGUGCUUAACACAUGCAAGUCGAACGGAAAGGCCCUGCUUUUGUGGGGUGCUCGGGUGGCGAACGGGUGAGUAACACGUGAGUAACCUGCCCUUGACUUUGGGAUAACUUCAGGUAACUGGGGCUACUACCGGAUAGGAGCUCCUGCUGCGUGGUGGGGGUUGGAAAGUUUCGGCGGUUGGGGAUGGACUCGCGGCUUAUCAGCUUGUUGGUGGGGUAGUGGCUGACCAAGGCUGUGACCGGUAGGCGGCCUGAGAGGGUGGACGGCGACCUGGGGACUGAGGGACGGCGCAGACUCCUACGGGAGGCAGUAGGGGGGAAUAUUGCACAAUGGGAGGAAGCCUGAUGCAGCAACGCCGCGUUCGUGAUGACGUCCUGUUGGGUGUAAACCGCUGUCGCCUGUGACGAAGCGGGAGUGACGGUAAUGGGUAAAGAAGCACCGGCUAACUACGUG
rnacentral:rRNA from 1 species